AUUGAACGCUGGCGGCAGGCCUAACACAUGCAAGUCGACCGCGCGGCGGACGGGUGAGUAAUGUCUGGGAAAAUGCCUGAUGGCGGGGGAUAACUACUGGAAACGGUAGCUAAUACCGCAUACCAUCAGAUGUGCCCAGAUGGGAUUAGCUAGUUGGUGGGGUAACGGCUCACCAAGGCGACGAUCCCUAGCUGGUAUGAGAGGAGGACCAGCCAAAAUGGAACUGAGACACGGUCCAGACUCCUACGGGAGGCAGCAGUGGGGAAUAUUGCACAAUGGGCGCAAGCCUGAUGCAGCCAUGCCGCGUGUAUGAAGAAGGCCUUCGGGUUGUAAAGUACUUUCAGCGGGGAGGCGUUACCCGCAGAAGAAGAACCGGCUAACUCCGUGCCAGCAGCCGCGGUAAUUC
rnacentral:rRNA from 1 species